rnacentral:rRNA from 1 species
UGGCGGCGUGCCUAACACAUGCAAGUCGAACGAGAAAGUGGAGCAAUCCAUGAGUACAGUGGCGUACGAGUGAGUAACACGUGACUAACCUACCCUCGAGUGGGGAAUAACUUCGGGAAACCGAGGCUAAUACCGCAUAAUGUCUACGGACCAAAUGCGCAAGCAGCUUGAGGGGGGGGUCGCGGCUGAUUAGCUUGUUGGCGGGGUAACGGCCCACCAAGGCAAUGAUCAGUAGCCGGCCUGAGAGGGCGCACGGCCACACUGGAACUGAAACACGGUCCAGACUCCUACGGGAGGCAGCAGUGGGGAAUUUUGCGCAAUGGGGGAAACCCUGACGCAGCAACGCCGCGUGGAGGAUGACGCCCCUUGGGGUGUAAACUCCUUUCGAUCGGGACGAUUAUGACGGUACCGGACGGAGAAGCACCGGCUAACUCUGUGCCAGCAGCCGCGGUAAUACAGAGGGUGCAAGCG